rnacentral:rRNA from 1 species
GUCCACGCUGUAAACGAUGGGCACUAGGUGUGGGGGUAUCCACUCCUCCCGUGCCGAAGCUAACGCAUUAAGUGCCCCGCCUGGGGAGUACGGCCGCAAGGUUAAAACUCAAAGGAAUUGACGGGGCCCGCACAAGCGGUGGAGCAUGUGGUUUAAUUCGACGCAACGCGAAGAACCUUACCUGGGCUUGACAUCCCUGGAACCCCCUGGAAACAGGGGGGUGCCCCCGAAAGGGGGAGCCAGGAGACAGGUGCUGCAUGGCUGUCGU